GAAAAACAAAUUUCUGGCAUUGAUUAUCGCCUAUGUUUGCGGUUGUUAUUUGCUAAACACCAAAUUUGUUUUAUCAGAAGAUUUCAUUUUGCAGAGUCCAUGGUUGCUUACACAUAUUGGAUCUUGGACUGACCUUUGUCAUCCUCGCUGGACUCUUCUCCAUUAUUGCUUUCACUUCUCUCUCUCGUUUCUUUCUUUUUUAUUUUUUUAAUCUUUUUAUGUGAAUCAGAGAAUCUUCUUCAUGAGUCUGUGAUUUCUUCAUUAAAAAUAUAUGAAAAAAAGUUGAUGUUUUUCCCUUUCUUGAUCUGAAACUAAAUACAAUUUAUUGUUUUUUAAACUUGUUUUAAUUGGUGAUGGCUGGUGGUGAUAGCGAGUGACAUAACUGUAAAACCCGGGGUGGCGCCGUGCAAGCCAUAGAGUGAAGCAGAAGGGGCAAAUGUCUUAGUUGCAAAGGCUCACUUCUGUUCUCUUUGGCCUUUUCUUCUCUCAAUUUUUCUCUCCACCCAAAGAAAAAUCCUUUUUUUAAUUUCUCUCAGCUAAGCUUAUUAAAGACUUUGCAUUUCGUUUUCCUGCUUAUUAUUACCCCACUACUAUCAUUUUGACGCCAAGUGAUUGCAAUUUGCUGAGCAAAUGAUGGCCCUCUCUUCAUCUGAUGACACCUGAGAGGACCCAUCACACGGUUCUGCUUAUUUUGCUUCCUCAUAUGGUUAAUUAAUAGUCACUUGCUUUGUUUUUAUUGUUGGCUUUGGACAUCUGGUUUUGCCUUGUUUUGUUCGUAUGACAUAUAGUCUGUUUUGUUCGAUGCACGCAUAGGUUUGUUUGUUUGAUUUUAUUGAUCACCUGAUCUGUUUUCUCUGCCCAAUAGUUAAAAGGGAUUAAACUACUGCAAAAUUUUCUUUGUUGAACUAGGUCAGUAACUAAGAGUUUGAUUAUUCGGUUUGUGAUCUGUGAUUCUUUCUUUCUUUCAGGGUAUUUAGUUAGUGGUUAUUAGUGCUGAGAGGGUUGAAAUCUUGGUUCUGGAAAAGAUGAGCGGAGCUGUGCUUGUGGCUGUAGCUGCUGCGGUUGGUAACUUACUGCAGGGAUGGGAUAAUGCAACCAUCGCAGGG
rnacentral:misc_RNA from 1 species